UUGCGAUCGUGCAGAAAAACUGUCUUUAACGUCACAACUCUCUCUUACGCCAUCUUCAUCGGCCAAACGUCCGAAAAAUGCAGGAACCUUCAAACGAUGUAUCCGGGAAAGAGGAAAACACCUUAGCAACAAGCGAACCUUAUCAUCCAAUACAGUGUUACAUUACAAUGCAAUUUUUUAACGUUUUAUAUAAUGAUUUGAUAUCCGAGGAUAUUUUUAAGUUGAAAAAAUGUUAUUUUUGUUGAUUAAAUUAAUGUAAAUGUUCUUUUCUUACCUGUUAAGACUAAUGAUAACGCACGAGGGCGUUGUUGUUGUCCUCCAUCAUGGCCGAUUUCGAUGCAAACUUUGAGUACGACGCAUGUCCUGACGUCAUCCUUUCCGUGCUUGGAAUGAUGGGUGCACGUGUGUCUCACAUGGCGGAAAAUUCGAAAGAAUAUAU